rnacentral:rRNA from 1 species
GGAAAUCAGCCGGUACUCCGAAUGCUCUAGAUUAUGAGUUUGAUCAUGGCUCAGAUCGAACGCUGGCGGCAUGCCUUACACAUGCAAGUCGAACGGUAACAGGUCUUCGGACGCUGACGAGUGGCGAACGGGUGAGUAAUACAUCGGAACGUGCCCAGUCGUGGGGGAUAACUACUCGAAAGAGUAGCUAAUACCGCAUACGAUCUGAGGAUGAAAGCGGGGGACCUUCGGGCCUCGCGCGAUUGGAGCGGCCGAUGGUAGAUUAGGUAGUUGGUGGGAUAAAAGCUUACCAAGNCCGACGAUCUGUAGCUGGUCUGAGAGGACUACCAGCCACACUGGGACUGAGACACGGCCCAGACUCCUACGGGAGGCAGCAGUG